UUACGGCCAUAUCUCAGUGAAACACCUGUUCCCUACGAUCACCGAAGUUAAGCAACGUCGAGCCUGACAAGUUCUUAAAUGAGUGACCGCUAGGGAAUACCAUGGGCUGUU